GCACAAGCGGCGGAGCAUGCGGAUUAAUUCGAUGCAACGCGAAGAACCUUACCAAGGCUUGACAUACACCGGUAACGCCCAGAGAUGGGUGCCCCUUUGUGGUCGGUGUACAGGUGGUGCAUGGUUGUCGUCAGCUCGUGUCGUGAGAUGUUGGGUUAAGUCCCGCAACGAGCGCAACCCUCGUCCUAUGUUGCCAGCGGGUCAUGCCGGGGACUCAUGGGAGACUGCCGGGGUCAACUCGGAGGAAGGUGGGAUGACGUCAAAUCAUCAUGCCCCUUAUGUCUUGGGCUUCACGCAUGCUACAAUGGCCGGUACAAAGGGCUGCGAUACCGCGAGGUGGAGCGAAUCCCAGAAAGCCGGUCUCAGUUCGGAUUGGGGUCUGCAACUCGACCCCAUGAAGUCGGAGUCGCUAGUAAUCGCAGAUCAGCAACGCUGCGGUGAAUACGUUCCCGGGCCUU
rnacentral:rRNA from 1 species